AGCGUACACGGUGGAUGCCCUGGCAGUCAGAGGCGAUGAAGGACGUGCUAAUCUGCGAUAAGCGUCGGUAAGGUGAUAUGAACCGUUAUAACCGGCGAUUUCCGAAUGGGGAAACCCAGUGUGAUUCGUCACACUAUCAUUAACUGAAUCCAUAGGUUAAUGAGGCGAACCGGGGGAACUGAAACAUCUAAGUACCCCGAGGAAAAGAAAUCAACCGAGAUUCCCCCAGUAGCGGCGAGCGAACGGGGAGCAGCCCAGAGCCUGAAUCAGUGUGUGUGUUAGUGGAAGCGUCUGGAAAGGCGCGCGAUACAGGGUGACAGCCCCGUACACAAAAAUGCACAUGCUGUGAGCUCGAUGAGUAGGGCGGGACACGUGGUAUCCUGUCUGAAUAUGGGGGGACCAUCCUCCAAGGCUAAAUACUCCUGACUGACCGAUAGUGAACCAGUACCGUGAGGGAAAGGCGAAAAGAACCCCGGCGAGGGGAGUGAAAAAGAACCUGAAACCGUGUACGUACAAGCAGUGGGAGCACAGAGCAAUCUGUGUGACUGCGUACCUUUUGUAUAAUGGGUCAGCGACUUAUAUUCUGUAGCAAGGUUAACCGAAUAGGGGAGCCGAAGGGAAACCGAGUCUUAACUGGGCGUUAAGUUGCAGGGUAUAGACCCGAAACCCGGUGAUCUAGCCAUGGGCAGGUUGAAGGUUGGGUAACACUAACUGGAGGACCGAACCGACUAAUGUUGAAAAAUUAGCGGAUGACUUGUGGCUGGGGGUGAAAGGCCAAUCAAACCGGGAGAUAGCUGGUUCUCCCCGAAAGCUAUUUAGGUAGCGCCUCGUGAAUUCAUCUCCGGGGGUAGAGCACUGUUUCGGCAAGGGGGUCAUCCCGACUUACCAACCCGAUGCAAACUGCGAAUACCGGAGAAUGUUAUCACGGGAGACACACGGCGGGUGCUAACGUCCGUCGUGAAGAGGGAAACAACCCAGACCGCCAGCUAAGGUCCCAAAGUCAUGGUUAAGUGGGAAACGAUGUGGGAAGGCCCAGACAGCCAGGAUGUUGGCUUAGAAGCAGCCAUCAUUUAAAGAAAGCGUAAUAGCUCACUGGUCGAGUCGGCCUGCGCGGAAGAUGUAACGGGGCUAAACCAUGCACCGAAGCUGCGGCAGCGACGCUUAUGCGUUGUUGGGUAGGGGAGCGUUCUGUAAGCCUGUGAAGGUGUGCUGUGAGGCAUGCUGGAGGUAUCAGAAGUGCGAAUGCUGACAUAAGUAACGAUAAAGCGGGUGAAAAGCCCGCUCGCCGGAAGACCAAGGGUUCCUGUCCAACGUUAAUCGGGGCAGGGUGAGUCGACCCCUAAGGCGAGGCCGAAAGGCGUAGUCGAUGGGAAACAGGUUAAUAUUCCUGUACUUGGUGUUACUGCGAAGGGGGGACGGAGAAGGCUAUGUUGGCCGGGCGACGGUUGUCCCGGUUUAAGCGUGUAGGCUGGUUUUCCAGGCAAAUCCGGAAAAUCAAGGCUGAGGCGUGAUGACGAGGCACUACGGUGCUGAAGCAACAAAUGCCCUGCUUCCAGGAAAAGCCUCUAAGCAUCAGGUAACAUCAAAUCGUACCCCAAACCGACACAGGUGGUCAGGUAGAGAAUACCAAGGCGCUUGAGAGAACUCGGGUGAAGGAACUAGGCAAAAUGGUGCCGUAACUUCGGGAGAAGGCACGCUGAUAUGUAGGUGAAGUCCCUCGCGGAUGGAGCUGAAAUCAGUCGAAGAUACCAGCUGGCUGCAACUGUUUAUUAAAAACACAGCACUGUGCAAACACGAAAGUGGACGUAUACGGUGUGACGCCUGCCCGGUGCCGGAAGGUUAAUUGAUGGGGUUAGCGCAAGCGAAGCUCUUGAUCGAAGCCCCGGUAAACGGCGGCCGUAACUAUAACGGUCCUAAGGUAGCGAAAUUCCUUGUCGGGUAAGUUCCGACCUGCACGAAUGGCGUAAUGAUGGCCAGGCUGUCUCCACCCGAGACUCAGUGAAAUUGAACUCGCUGUGAAGAUGCAGUGUACCCGCGGCAAGACGGAAAGACCCCGUGAACCUUUACUAUAGCUUGACACUGAACAUUGAGCCUUGAUGUGUAGGAUAGGUGGGAGGCUUUGAAGUGUGGACGCCAGUCUGCAUGGAGCCGACCUUGAAAUACCACCCUUUAAUGUUUGAUGUUCUAACGUUGACCCGUAAUCCGGGUUGCGGACAGUGUCUGGUGGGUAGUUUGACUGGGGCGGUCUCCUCCUAAAGAGUAACGGAGGAGCACGAAGGUUGGCUAAUCCUGGUCGGACAUCAGGAGGUUAGUGCAAUGGCAUAAGCCAGCUUGACUGCGAGCGUGACGGCGCGAGCAGGUGCGAAAGCAGGUCAUAGUGAUCCGGUGGUUCUGAAUGGAAGGGCCAUCGCUCAACGGAUAAAAGGUACUCCGGGGAUAACAGGCUGAUACCGCCCAAGAGUUCAUAUCGACGGCGGUGUUUGGCACCUCGAUGUCGGCUCAUCACAUCCUGGGGCUGAAGUAGGUCCCAAGGGUAUGGCUGUUCGCCAUUUAAAGUGGUACGCGAGCUGGGUUUAGAACGUCGUGAGACAGUUCGGUCCCUAUCUGCCGUGGGCGCUGGAGAAUUGAGGGGGGCUGCUCCUAGUACGAGAGGACCGGAGUGGACGCAUCACUGGUGUUCGGGUUGUCAUGCCAAUGGCACUGCCCGGUAGCUAAAUGCGGAAGAGAUAAGUGCUGAAAGCAUCUAAGCACGAAACUUGCCCCGAGAUGAGUUCUCCCUGACUCCUUGA
rnacentral:rRNA from 1 species